GGCAGCACGGGGCAACCUGGUGGCGAGUGGCGAACGGGUGAGUAAUAUAUCGGAACGUACCCUAGAGUGGGGGAUAACGUAGCGAAAGUUACGCUAAUACCGCAUACGAUCUAAGGAUGAAAGUGGGGGCUUCGCAAGAACCUCAUGCUCGUGGAGCGGCCGAUAUCUGAUUAGCUAGUUGGUAGGGUAAAAGCCUACCAAGGCAUCGAUCAGUAGCUGGUCUGAGAGGACGACCAGCCACACUAGAACUGAGACACGGUCCAGACUCCUACGGGAGGCAGCAGUGGGGAAUUUUGGACAAUGGGCGAAAGCCUGAUCCAGCAAUGCCGCGUGAGUGAAGAAGGCCUUCGGGUUGUAAAGCUCUUUUGUCAGGGAAGAAACGGUUGACCCUAAUACGGUUGACUAAUGACGGUACCUGAAGAAUAAGCACCGGCUAACUACGUGCCAGCAGCCGCGGUAAUACGUAGGGUGCAAGCGUUAAUCGGAAUUACUGGGCGUAAAGCGUGCGCAGGCGGUUAUGUAAGACAGAUGUGAAAUGCCCGGGCUUAACCUGGGAACUGCAUUUGUGACUGCAUGGCUAGAAUCUGGCAGAGGGGGGUAGAAUUCCACGUGUAGCAGUGAAAUGCGUAGAUAUGUGGAGGAAUACCGAUGGCGAAGGCAGCCCCCUGGGCUAAGAUUGACGCUCAUGCACGAAAGCGUGGGGAGCAAAUAGGAUUAGAUACCCUGGUAGUCCACGCCCU
rnacentral:rRNA from 1 species